AACGAACGCUGGCGGCGCGCUUAACACAUGCAAGUCGAACGAGAAGGCGUAGCAAUACGCUUGUACAGUGGCGAACGGGUGAGUAAUACGUGGGCGACCUACCCUCGAGUGGGAAGUAACCCNCCGAAAGGCGGGCUAAUGCCGCGUACGCUUCCAUCUUUAUGGAGGUGGAAGGAAAAGCCGUGCCGUGGGCACGGCGCUCAAGGAUGGGCUCACGUCCUAUCAGCUUGUUGGUAGGGAA
rnacentral:rRNA from 1 species